CUACGGGGCGCACCAGUGGGGAAUAUUGCACAAUGGGCGCAAGCCUGAUGCAGCCAUGCCGCGUGUAUGAAGAAGGCCUUCGGGUUGUAAAGUACUUUCAGCGGGGAGGAAGGGAGUAAAGUUAAUACCUUUGCUCAUUGACGUUACCCGCAGAAGAAGCACCGGCUAACUCCGUGCCAGCAGCCGCGGUAAUACGGAGGGUGCAAGCGUUAAUCGGAAUUACUGGGCGUAAAGCGCACGCAGGCGGUUUGUUAAGUCUGAUGUGAAAUCCCCGGGCUCAACCUGGGAACUGCAUCUGAUACUGGCAAGCUUGAGUCCCGUAGAGGGGGGUAGAAUUCCAGGUGUAGCGGUGAAAUGCGUAGAGAUCUGGAGGAAUACCGGUGGCGAAGGCGGCCCCCUGGACGAAGACUGACGCUCAGGUGCGAAAGCGUGGGGAGCAAACAGGAUUAGAUACCCCUGUAGUC
rnacentral:rRNA from 1 species